rnacentral:rRNA from 1 species
GUGCCAGCAGCCGCGGUAAUACGUAGGGUGCGAGCGUUAUCCGGAAUUAUUGGGUGUAAAGAGCUCGUAGGCGGUUUGUCGCGUCUGUCGUGAAAGUCCGGGGCUUAACCCCGGAUCUGCGGUGGGUACGGGCAGACUAGAGUGCAGUAGGGGAGACUGGAAUUCCUGGUGUAGCGGUGGAAUGCGCAGAUAUCAGGAGGAACACCGAUGGCGAAGGCAGGUCUCUGGGCUGUAACUGACGCUGAGGAGCGAAAGCAUGGGGAGCGGACAGGAUUAGAUACCCUGGUAGUCCAUGCCGUAAACGUUGGGCACUAAGUGUGGGGACCAUUCCACGGUUUCCGCGCCGCAGCUAACGCAUUAAGUGCCCCGCCUGGGGAGUACGGCCGCAAGGCUAAAACUCAAAGGAAUUGACGGGGGCCCGCACAAGCGGCGGAGCAUGCGGAUUAAUUCGAUGCAACGCGAAGAACCUUACCAAGGCUUGACAUGUUCUCGAUCGCCGUAGAGAUACGGUUUCCCCUUUGGGGCGGGUUCACAGGUGGUGCAUGGUUGUCGUCAGCUCGUGUCGUGAGAUGUUGGGUUAAGUCCCACAACGAGCGCAACCCUCGUUCCAUGUUGCCAGCACGUAAUGGUGAGGACUCAUGGGAGACUGCCGGGGUCAACUCGGAGGAAGGUGAGGACGACGUCAAAUCAUCAUGCCCCUUAUGUCUUGGGCUUCACGCAUGCUGCAAUGGCCGGUACAAUGGGUUGCGAUACUGUGAGGUGGAGCUAAUCCCAAAAAGCCGGUCUCAGUUCGGAUUGGGGGUCUGCAACUCGACCCCCAUGAAGUCGGAGUCGCUAGUAAUCGCAGAUCA